CCUGUUCUAAUGGCGCACCAGUCAUUAGGCGACGUCAGGCGUCCCGUAUUUAAGGAGGCGGCCGUGUUUGGCUCGCACUCCUUCCGUUUCCGCUCCUCUCCGGUGGGUCGUGGAUAGCGCGGAAGAGCUACCUCUGUAGCCGCGGCGUGGUUGUGCAACAGCCAGCGCCUCCUCUAAUUUCCCCCCCUCGUACGCAGCGUGACUGACUGCUGGCGUGGGAUCGCUCCGCCGGGGGACCUUCGGGGUGCAGUUGCGGGUCUGCUUUCUGGACUCAUCUACGGCUGGGGGAGACUCCCACCCUCCGGGUUGCUGUGACGGUGCCUUGGCUUGCAGGGUGAGGCCCUGCUCCUUCGUCGGCCGUCAUUGGCCACCACGUCUCAGACGGACCUGCUGUUUUGGCUUUACCGGAAAUUGCACUAUCCUAAAUCACACUUUUAAUGAACUGUUGCAGCUGAUAAGAGCACGGCUCCACAGUUGAAGACUGCCCGGGCUCAGGACCAAUUCUGUGUGUUCUUAAAGUGUUGUCUCGUGCACUGUGGCUCUCCACGCUACACCUUCACGGCGCGUGGAGUGAUCACCACAAAGGGACGCCUAGUUUUUUAGCAACCUUUAAAUCCCGUUUAUAUUGGUUGGUAUUUCGUUGUUUUGUUCUGUUUUGUUUUGUUGUUUCCACGCGGACAUGUUUUAAUUAUUCUUUUAUUGUUGGUCAGGUGCUGUGGGCCUGAGGCGGCGACCCAAUACCUGGUGGCGGGGUUUUCUUCACCACCCGUUUUGUUGGUUUGCUGUGUCACGGGUGGCGAGUUUAUUAAUCCUUCCCCUUUUUCUUUGGUUGUCGUCGCCGUGGUAAGUCCCAGCCCUGUCCCUGUGUUGCUCCUGUCAAGCAUUUUAUUGCAUGUUAAUUGGUGUUCUGUUUGUUUUCAUUUUGCUUGUUGAUUUAUGCAUUUAUUUGAGUUAUAUUAAAGUUCUUUUUUUAUUA